rnacentral:rRNA from 1 species
AGUGGGAGCACAGGUUUACCUGUGUGACUGCGUACCUUUUGUAUAAUGGGUCAGCGACUUAUAUUCUGUAGCAAGGUUAACCGUAUAGGGGAGCCGCAGGGAAACCGAGUCUUAAUUGGGCGUUAAGUUGCAGGGUAUAGACCCGAAACCCGGUGAUCUAGCCAUGGGCAGGUUGAAGGUUGGGUAACACUAACUGGAGGACCGAACCGACUAAUGUUGAAAAAUUAGCGGAUGACCUGUGGCUGGGGGUGAAAGGCCAAUCAAACCGGGAGAUAGCUGGUUCUCCCCGAAAGCUAUUUAGGUAGCGCCUCGUGAAUUCAUCUCCGGGGGUAGAGCACUGUUUCGGCUAGGGGGCCAUCCCGGCUUACCAACCCGAUGCAAACUGCGAAUACCGGAGAAUGUUAUCACGGGAGACACACGGCGGGUGCUAACGUCCGUCGUGAAGAGGGAAACAACCCAGACCGCCAGCUAAGGUCCCAAAGUCAUGGUUAAGUGGGAAACGAUGUGGGAAGGCCCAGACAGCCAGGAUGUUGGCUUAGAAGCAGCCAUCAUUUAAAGAAAGCGUAAUAGCUCACUGGUCGAGUCGGCCUGCGCGGAAGAUGUAACGGGGCUAAACCAUGCACCGAAGCUGCGGCAGCGACGCUGAUGCGUUGUUGGGUAGGGGAGCGUUCUGUAAGCCUGUGAAGGUGGCCUGUGAGGGUUGCUGGAGGUAUCAGAAGUGCGAAUGCUGACAUAAGUAACGAUAAAGCGGGUGAAAAGCCCGCUCGCCGGAAGACCAAGGGUUCCUGUCCAACGUUAAUCGGGGCAGGGUGAGUCGACCCCUAAGGCGAGGCCGAAAGGCGUAGUCGAUGGGAAACGGGUUAAUAUUCCCGUACUUGGUGUUACUGCGAAGGGGGGACGGAGAAGGCUAUGUUGGCCGGGCGACGGUUGUCCCGGUUUAAGCGUGUAGGUGUGUGUUCCAGGUAAAUCCGGUUCACUUUAACACUGAGGCGUGAUGACGAGGCACUACGGUGCUGAAGCAACAAAUGCCCUGCUUCCAGGAAAAGCCUCUAAGCAUCAGGUAACAUCAAAUCGUACCCCAAACCGACACAGGUGGUCAGGUAGAGAAUACCAAGGCGCUUGAGAGAACUCGGGUGAAGGAACUAGGCAAAAUGGUGCCGUAACU